UACGUAGGGUGCGAGCGUUGUCCGGAAUUAUUGGGCGUAAAGAGCUCGUAGGCGGUGUGUCGCGUCGGCCGUGAAAACCUGGGGCUCAACUCUGGGCGUGCGGUCGAUACGGGCAUCACUGGAGUUCGGCAGGGGAGACUGGAAUUCCUGGUGUAGCGGUGAAAUGCGCAGAUAUCAGGAGGAACACCGGUGGCGAAGGCGGGGUCUCUGGGCCGAUACUGACGCUGAGGAGCGAAAGCGUGGGGAGCGAACAGG
rnacentral:rRNA from 1 species